rnacentral:rRNA from 1 species
AACGAACGCUGGCGGCAGGCUUAACACAUGCAAGUCGAACGCGUGUAGCAAUACACGAGUGGCGCACGGGUGAGUAACGCGUGGAUAUCUGCCUUUUGGUUCGGAAUAACUCCGGGAAACUGGAGCUAAUACCGGAUGGUUCCUACGGGAUAAAGAUUUAUCGCCAAAAGAUGAGUCCGCGUACGAUUAGCUAGUUGGUGAGGUAAUGGCUCACCAAGGCGACGAUCGUUAGCUGGUCUGAGAGGACGAUCAGCCACACUGGGACUGAGACACGGCCCAGACUCCUACGGGAGGCAGCAGUGGGGAAUAUUGGACAAUGGGGGCAACCCUGAUCCAGCCAUGCCGCGUGAGUGAUGAAAGCCUUCGGGUUGUAAAGCUCUUUUGGCGGGGACGAUGAUGACGGUACCCGCAGAAUAAGCCCCGGCUAACUUCGUGCCAGCAGCCGCGGUAAU